GAUCAUGGCUCAGGACGAACGCUGGCGGCGCGCCUAACACACGCAAGUCGAACGAGAGAGAGGGAGCUUGCUUCUUCGAUCGAGUGGCGAAUGGGUGAGUAACGCGUGAGGAACCUGCCUCAAAGAGGGGGACAACAGUUGGAAACGACUGCUAAUACCGCAUAAGCCCACGGGUCGGCAUCGACCUGAGGGAAAAGGAGAAAUCCGCUUUGAGAUGGCCUCGCGUCCGAUUAGCUAGUUGG
rnacentral:rRNA from 1 species